GCUGGGUGUGGUGGUGCUCGCCUGUAAUCCCAGCAGCUCAGGAGGCUGAGGCAGGAGAAUUGCAAGUUCAAAGCCAGCCUCAGCAAUUUUUCAAGGCACUAAGCAACUCAGUGAGACCCUGUCUCCA
rnacentral:sRNA from 1 species